UGGGGAAUAUUGGACAAUGGGGGAAACCCUGAUCCAGCAAUGCCGCGUGAGUGAAGAAGGCCUUAGGGUUGUAAAGCUCUUUCGCCCGCGAAGAUAAUGACGGUAGCGGGAGAAGAAGCCCCGGCUAACUCCGUGCCAGCAGCCGCGGUAAUACGGAGGGGGCCAGCGUUGUUCGGAAUUACUGGGCGUAAAGCGUACGUAGGCGGAUGCGCAAGUUGGGGGUGAAAUCCCGGGGCUUAACCUCGGAAUUGCCCUCAAAACUGCACGUCUUGAGACCGAGAGAGGUCAGGGCAAUUCCUAGUGUAGAGGUGAAAUUCGUAGAUAUUAGGAAGAACACCAGUGGCGAAGGCGCCUUACUGGCUCGGUACUGACGCUGAGGUACGAAAGCGUGGGGAGCAAACA
rnacentral:rRNA from 1 species